rnacentral:rRNA from 1 species
CGGAACGGGUGAGUAAUGCGUGACCAACCUGCCCCAUGCUCCAGAAUAGCUCUUGGAAACGGGUGGUAAUGCUGGAUGCUCCAACUUGACGCAUGUCUUGUUGGAAAGUGUUUAGUGGCAUGGGAUGGGGUCGCGUCCUAUCAGCUUGUAGGCGGGGUAAUGGCCCACCUAGGCUUCGACGGGUAGCCGGCCUGAGAGGGCGGACGGCCACAUUGGGACUGAGAUACGGCCCAGACUCCUACGGGAGGCAGCAGUG